rnacentral:rRNA from 1 species
AGUGAACGCUGGCGGUAGGCCUAACACAUGCAAGUCGAACGGCAGCACAGGGUAGCUUGCUCCCUGGGUGGCGAGUGGCGGACGGGUGAGGAAUACAUCGGAAUCUACUCUGUCGUGGGGGAUAACGUAGGGAAACUUACGCUAAUACCGCAUACGACCUACGGGUGAAAGUGGGGGACCGCAAGGCCUCACGCGAUUGAAUGAGCCGAUGUCGGAUUAGCUAGUUGGCGGGGUAAAGGCCCACCAAGGCGACGAUCCGUAGCUGGUCUGAGAGGAUGAGCAGCCACACUGGAACUGAGACACGGUCCAGACUCCUACGGGAGGCAGAAGUGGGGAAUAUUGGACAAUGGGCGCAAGCCUGAUCCAGCCAUACCGCGUGGGUGAAGAAGGCCUUCGGGUUGUAAAGCCCUGUUGUUGGGAAAGAAAUCCUGUUGGUUAAUACCCGGCAGGGAUGACGGUACCCAAAGAAUAAGCACCGGCUAACUUCGUGCCAGCAGCCGCAGUAA